GAUGAACGCUGGCGGCGUGCCUAAUACAUGCAAGUCGAGCGAACAGACGAGGAGCUUGCUCCUCUGACGUUAGCGGCGGACGGGUGAGUAACACGUGGAUAACCUACCUAUAAGACUGGGACAACUUCGGGAAACCGGAGCUAAUACCGGAUAAUAUAUUAAACCGCAUGGUGCAAUAGUGAAAGACGGUUUUGCUGUCACUUAUAGAUGGAUCCGCGCCGCAUUAACUAGUUGGUAAGGUAACGGCUUACCAAGGCAACGAUGCGUAGCCGACCUGCGAGGGUGUUCGGCCACACUCGAACUGAGUCACGGUCCAGACUCCUGCGGGAUGCAGCAGUAGAGAAUCUUCCGCAGUCGGCGGAGGCCUGACGUUACCACGCCGCGUGAGUGAUGAAGGUCUUCGUAUCGUAAAACUCUGUUAUUAGGGAAGAACAAAUGUGUAAGUGACUAUGCACGUCUUGACGGUACCUAAUCAGAGAGCCACGGCUAACUACGUG
rnacentral:rRNA from 1 species